GAUGAACGCUGGCGGCGUGCCUAAUACAUGCAAGUCGAGCGAAGCGGGGACGGGUGAGUAACAUGUCGAGUACCCCCCAUAAGACUGGGAUUACUUCGGGAAACCGGAGCUAAACCGGAUUCUUUUCGCUGGUUCCGCGCUGUAUUAGCUAGUUGGUAAGGUAACGGCUUACCAAGUCAACGACGCAUAGCCGACCUGAGAGGGUGAGCGGCCACACUGGAACUGAGACACGGUCCAGACUCCUACGGGAGGCAGCAGUAGGGAAUAUUCCGCAAUGGGCGAAAGCCUGACGGAGCAACGCCGCGUGAGUGAUGAAGGUCUUCGGAUCGUAAAGCUCUGUUAUUAGGGAAGCGGUACCUAAUCAGAAAGCCACGGCUAACUACGUGCCAGCAGCCGCGGUAAUUC
rnacentral:rRNA from 1 species